rnacentral:rRNA from 1 species
GUAGGUGGCAAGCGUUGUCCGGAAUUAUUGGGCGUAAAGCGCGCGCAGGCGGUUCUUUAAGUCUGAUGUGAAAGCCCACGGCUCAACCGUGGAGGGUCAUUGGAAACUGGAGAACUUGAGUACAGAAGAGGAAAGCGGAAUUCCACGUGUAGCGGUGAAAUGCGUAGAGAUGUGGAGGAACACCAGUGGCGAAGGCGGCUUUCUGGCCUGUAACUGACGCUGAGGCGCGAAAGCGUGGGGAGCAAACAGGGAUUAGAUACCCUGGUAGUCCACGCCGUAAACGAUGAGUGCUAAGUGUUAGGGGGGUUUCCGCCCCCUUAGUGCUGCAGCUAACGCAUUAAGCACUCCGCCUGGGGAGUACGGCCGCAAGGCUG